rnacentral:rRNA from 1 species
UGUAUUGUUUAAUUUUUCUUAGUUUUUUAACUAAAAUAGUUUGGCAGUGAGCGAUUCUUAUUAGGGGAAGGUGUGUUGUAAAGGAUGAUCCGCCUAUUAAUUUACUUUUAUUAUGUUGGUGUAUAUCUGGUUUAAUAUUAUUGUUUAAUAACUGAAUUUGUGUAUAUUUAUUUAAGCCAAGUCUAUGUGCUGCUUGUAAAAGAUUUCAUGCGUUACAUUUAUAUUUAUAUUAUGAGAAUUUAAUUUUUAAUUAGGACUUAAAAGUAAUAUAGAAUGAUUUUGUCUAUG